UCUGAUGCUUGGACUAAGAAAAUCACCUGCAAAAUUGCUUCUGCUUCUAACUCUGAAGACUACAUUGGCAUUAAGUCAAAUGAGGAACAGGAGCCGGUGUCUGAAUGGGUAACAGAAAGCUGGACCUUCACACCCCUGCAUGUGUCAACACUGGAGAUGAAGAAGUAGUCUGGGAAGUCACCACUCUCCCAACGCCACAGGCAAGAAGAGAAAGGUUGUGAUAUAAAGCUGGGGCUGCUUAGCAACCUGGAGCCUGGGAGUGAACUGUGAACUAUAAGAUUUAAGAAAGCGUAUCAGUGAAGGUCUGAGCAGGAAAGAGAGCGUAUUCUAAGUCUUUCAACCAGAAGAAAGAAAGGCAACAGACGUGAACGAGCAGAAGGUCAACUGGGCUAAGUUAGAUCAACCCAGACAUGAUCACAGAGGAUGCUUGAGAAAGGAGCACUGGAAACCGGGGCUGUGGGGAUGAAGAAGCAUGGGCAAGGCUUCAGGCAUGGGCACAGAGAGCCCAGGAGUUUGCUCUUUUGCCCUCAUCCCCAUUGUGUGAACAAUGUAUUCUCAGAGGUCCCCAGUGUGAAGAGUGUGUUUUCAGAGGUCUGCCCAGAGUGUAACUCAAACAGUCCACCACCAGCAUGGCAGAGUUGAUGGAGUCUGCAUGUGCACCAACAGUUGCUCCUGUUUUGAACAAUGAAGUCAUAACAACAACAGCAGCAGCAGCAGAGCAACAACAACAACAACGAAAAAACACGAGGAAAGCAUGGGGACCUGUUGCAUUAAGGAAGAAGUUUGUUUUGGGGGAGUCUGGAAUUUUUUUUCUCUGUGUUGUGUUCACUGAGAUGCAUUGA